rnacentral:rRNA from 1 species
UACAGAGGGCUCAAGCGUUGUUCGGAUUCAUUGGGCGUAAAGGGUGCGUAGGUGGCGCCGUAAGUCGGGUGUGAAAUUUCGAGGCUUAACCUCGAAACUGCAUUCGAUACUGCGGUGCUUGAGGACUGGAGAGGAGACUGGAAUUCAUGGUGUGGCAGUGAAAUGCGUAGAGAUCAGGAGGAAGACCAGUGGCGAAGGCGGGUCUCUGGACAGUUCCUGACACUGAGGCACGAAGGCCAGGGGAGCGAACAGG